AACCUGUUGGAUUUACAGAUACCUGAAGAAAAAGGAAAUAAUAAUUAUUUUAUUAAAUAGCUUAUAAUGGCAUACUUAAUAUGAUAAUACUUACUUUCAUUUCAUUUACAUACUGAAAUGUUCUACAAUCAAUAACUCUCAGAGGACUGGACGUGAGCUUUCUGGACAUCCAAGAAGGGAACCCAUAAAAGGAUCCCAGCAAUGAAUUGUGCCAUCACAGGUAACUACAUAUCGUAAAGAUUCUAGGAAUGUAAGGGCAAGGAUCGACUUUUUAUGUCCAGUAUAAGUAUACUGACAAGAUGUAACAGUGUUUCCAUCCCCCUAUUAAUAAAAUAUGCUACUUAAUUGUAAACUCUUUUUAUAUAUAAAAUAUAUAUCUCUAUAUCUAAUAAUAUAAGAUUUUUAUAUUGAAAAGCA